AAACAUUUAAAAAAUUGACCUCAACAAUUCUAGGAUCUAUCUGAAAUACCUGAUCUAUCAGGAGUCAGUAUCUUGAGAUAUUGAUUCACACGAACUGUACAGAAUUAACUAAAAUCCACCCUUCUAUCAGCACUCUAAGAAACUCACUUAUCUGAAUCUAAGGGCGUAGGAAGCUACGGAAUCUUGCAAGCAACAUUUGUAUGGAAGUCUCGAAAGGUUUUUCUUCAUGGUUGUUGAAACCUCCAAUACUUUCCAACCAUUUCUGGUAAUAUGGAACGUUUGUAUGAACUUUCCCUAGAUGGAACUGGUGUGUCAAAUCUGCCUUCAUCCAUUGAAAAUCUCACUGGUCUUACUAAGCUUAACUUUCAAACUGCAAAAAACUCGUGGGUCUUCCAAAUACAUCUGUAAUUUGAAACGUCUUGAAAAACUUUUUCUCUCUGGUUGUGAAAGCUCCAACAUCUUCCAGAAAACAUUGGGCAUUUAGAAUCAUUAUCAGAGUUUUAUGCAGACGGAACUUCAUUUAAACAAGUUCCAUCCUCCAUUAUCUAUUUGAAGAAUAUUUCAAGGUUAUCAUUUGGUGGAUGAUAAUGAAAUAUUCUUCCCAAUCCCAUUGGUUGUCUAGGUUACUUCCUAGAAGAACAGUAGUCCAAGAUGUAUGGGUGGUUUGCAGUUGCCUCCUUUGGGCGGCUUUCAAAAUCUUAGUAGUCUUUGUCUUAGUAACUGCAAUCUUGUGGAAUGCCAAGUGGUCUACACAACUUGCCCUCCUUGAGUGAACUUGACUUAAGUGGAAAUAACUUUGAGACCUUACCUCAAACCAUAUUCUACAAUCUUUCUAGUUUAUCUACUCUAGAGUUGAGUCAUUGCACAAGACUCCGUUCGUUACCGGAACUUCCACCCAACCUCCAUACCUUGUUGGCAGAUGAAUGUACAUCCCUAGAAUCAAUUAUGAGCCUUAAUCUUUGUUUGGAGGAACUGGUACAAGUCCUGCUGACAAAAAGUUAAAAUUUGCCAAUUGUUUGAAACUAAAGAAGGAAGGCAACAUCUUGGAGUCCUUAUUACAGGGGGUUCAUCUUGUAGAAAAAGAAGGGCAGGAGUUAUAUGAUAUGGGUAUUUAUCAUGGCGGCCUAGGUCUUAAGGUGGGGGCGAUGUAUCCAGGGAGUGAAAUUCCACAAUGGUUUAGUAAUAAUCAAGCAGAGGGCAAUACUGUAACCCUCCUGCUUCCUCAACAUUGUAUUGAUAACUCUUUGGCGUUUGCUCUAUGUCUUAUUGUUUCUCAGAGUGAGGUGACACGGUUUUACAUUCUGAUGUUAGUGUUCACUUUCGAUUGACAUUCGACAUGAUAAUGAGAAUGCCGCCGAAGCAAUUUCUGUUUCUUGAGUGGAGGACAGAGCUUGGUGUCCUUUAAAGAAGAUCAUGUUGUUUUUGGACUUGUAUCCAUGGUUCGCUACAUUGUUGCAGAUGCAAUGAUGGAACCUUGGCCUAGGAAUUGCAAUCACAUUGAAUGUUUCUUUAGGUUUGGCGGUGAUUUGGACAACAGCUAUGCCCCUGUAAAGGUGAAAAGGUGGUGCAGUUCGCUUGGUAAACGUGGAGGGAAAAACGCAACCUAUUUUCCUUGGUUUUUUGGUUAGAAUCGUUUUCUAAAUUCCCACUUUAAAAUCUCUCUUUAAACCCAUCUACCGAGUACUCACUACCUCUUCACAUCUUUAAACUUACAUUUGUGUUUAUCAUUUUUACUUGCUUUGUAUUUUCAGUUUCAUCAUUGCAUGAAUAUUUAACACAACUUCUUAGCCAUUGGACUGCAUUAGUAGUCUAUAUCAAUUAACAAGAAAUCACGUUGUAUGAGAAUAAUAUCUAAGCUUCAUUUAUGUACUUUGGAAGUGAAAUUUAGAUAUGGAUGUUUUCUAUUGGUUGUUAAGAGCAUAAGUAUAUUAAAGAUUGUAUCCUCUUUCUUAA